rnacentral:rRNA from 1 species
UUGGAGGGCAAGUCUGGUGCCAGCAGCCGCGGUAAUUCCAGCUCCAAUAGCGUAUAUUAAAGUUGUUGCAGUUAAAAAGCUCGUAGUUGAAUUUCGGGGUCAGCAGGUUGGUCGUGCCAAUGGUAUGCACUGGCCUUGGUGAUUCCUCCCUCUUGUAGAACCGUAAUGCCAUUAAGUUGGUGUUGCGGGGAAACAGGACUGUUACUUUGAAAAAAUUAGAGUGUUUAAAGCAGGCUAACGCCUGAAUACAUUAGCAUGGAAUAAUGAAAUAGGACGUUCGAUCCUAUUUUGUUGGUUUCUAGGGUUGACGUAAUGAUUAAUAGGGAUAGUUGGGGGCAUUAGUAUUCAAUUGUCAGAGGUGAAAUUCUUGGAUUUAUUGAAGACUAACUACUGCGAAAGCAUUUGCCAAGGAUGUUUUCAUUAAUCAAGAACGAAAGUUAGGGGAUCGAAGACGAUCAGAUACCGUCGUAGUCUUAACCAUAAACUAUGCCGACUAGGGAUCGGAUGAUGUUAAUUUUUUAAUGACUCAUUCGGCGCCUUACGGGAAAC